rnacentral:rRNA from 1 species
AGUGAACGCUGGCGGUAGGCCUAACACAUGCAAGUCGAACGGCAGCACAGUAAGAGCUUGCUCUUACGGGUGGCGAGUGGCGGACGGGUGAGGAAUACAUCGGAAUCUACUUUUUCGUGGGGGAUAACGUAGGGAAACUUAUGCUAAUACCGCAUACGACCUACGGGUGAAAGCAGGGGAUCUUCGGACCUUGCGCGAUUCAAUGAGCCGAUGUCGGAUUAGCUAGUUGGCAAGGUAAAGGCCCACCAAGGCGACGAUCCGUAGCUGGUCUGAGAGGAUGAUCAGCCACACUGGAACUGAGACACGGUCCAGACUCCUACGGGAGGCAGCAGUGGGGAAUAUUGGACAAUGGGCGCAAGCCUGAUCCAGCCAUGCCGCGUGAGUGAAGAAGGCCUUCGGGUUGUAAAGCCCUUUUGUUGGGAAAGAAAAGCAGCAGGUUAAUACCCCGCUGUUCUGACGGUACCCAAAGAAUAAGCACCGGCUAACUUCGUG